rnacentral:rRNA from 1 species
UACAGAGGUCUCAAGCGUUGUUCGGAUUCAUUGGGCGUAAAGGGUGCGUAGGCGGCGCGGUAAGUCGGGUGUGAAAUCUCGGGGCUUAACUCCGAAACUGCAUCGAUACUGCCGUGCUUGAGGACUGGAGAGGAGACUGGAAUUUACGGUGUAGCGGUGAAAUGCGUAGAUAUCGUAAGGAAGACCAGUGGCGAAGGCGGGUCUCUGGACAGUUCCUGACGCUGAGGCACGAAGGCCAGGGGAGCAAACGGG